UACGGAGGGGGCAAGCGUUGUUCGGAAUUACUGGGCGUAAAGGACUCGUAGGCGGCCAACUAAGUCAUACGUGAAAUCCCUCGGCUUAACCGGGGAACUGCGUCUGAUACUGGAUGGCUUGAGUUCGGGAGAGGGAUGCGGAAUUCCAGGUGUAGCGGUGAAAUGCGUAGAUAUCUGGAGGAACACCGGUGGCGAAGGCGGCAUCCUGGACCGAUACUGACGCUGAGGAGCGAAAGCCAGGGGAGCAAACGGG
rnacentral:rRNA from 1 species